rnacentral:tRNA from 2 species
GCGUCUGUGGCGGAAUUGGUAGACGCGCUGCGUUCAGGGCGCAGUGGGCGCAAGCCCGUGGGGGUUCGACUCCCUUCAGACGCACCA